rnacentral:rRNA from 1 species
AGAAUUUUUCUCAAUGGGGGAAACCCUGAAGGAGCGACGCCGCGUGGAGGAUGAAGGUCUUCGGAUUGUAAACUCCUGUCAUUUGGGAACAAUUGUCACCGAUUAACUGUCGGGGGCUUGAUAGUACCAGAAGAGGAAGAGACGGCUAACUCUGUGCCAGCAGCCGCGGUAAUACAGAGGUCUCAAGCGUUGUUCGGAUUCAUUGGGCGUAAAGGGUGCGUAGGUGGCGGGGUAAGUCUGGUGUGAAAUCUCGGGGCUCAACCCCGAAACUGCACUGGAUACUGCCUUGCUCGAGUACUGGAGAGGAGAUUGGAAUUUACGGUGUAGCAGUGAAAUGCGUAGAUAUCGUAAGGAAGACCAGUGGCGAAGGCGAAUCUCUGGACAGUUACUGACACUGAGGCACGAAGGCCAGGGGAGCAAA